AAAUAAAAAAAACCAAGCUUACAUGUCUCACUUAGCUUUCUUGUUGCCACUAAACAGAGAAGUAGUUGUCAAUGGAAUUACUCCCAUUGAAAUGA